ensembl:lncRNA
CCAUGUUUCAGUCGAUAUUAUGGAGUUAAUUUGGAAAAAAGUUCGGCAUUUUGAAGACUGAAUUUUCGUUUUUUUUUGGUAGCCAAACGUGACGCACCAAACGGAGCAAUUUCUCCUAAACAAAUAAUCUUUCAGGAAAAACUGAGCAUUUGCUAUCUAACUGAGAGUCUCCUCAUUGAAAACAACUGAAGUUCUUCAAAGAGGCAGGGGAGCGGGCCAUACCUCCAUACCUACAGUCAGAGGUCAUUGUGGGCCAGACAGUGGGAGGAGGUUUUGAGUCACUCCCGUCCCCCACCUGGUUGUUACGUACCUGAAGUAAUGUCUGGCUGUUUGAUGUCUCUGACGGUGGAACCUGAACACAACACCCCAUGGUUUGUCUAC